UACAGAGGUCUCAAGCGUUGUUCGGAUUCAUUGGGCGUAAAGGGUGCGUAGGUGGCGGGGUAAGUCAGGUGUGAAAUCUCGAGGCUCAACCUCGAAACUGCACUUGAUACUGCCUUGCUCGAGGGUUGGAGGGGGGACUGGAAUACUUGGUGUAGCAGUGAAAUGCGUAGAUAUCAAGUGGAACACCAGUGGCGAAGGCGAGUCCCUGGACAACUCCUGACACUGAGGCACGAAAGCUAGGGGAGCAAACAGG
rnacentral:rRNA from 1 species